rnacentral:sRNA from 1 species
CAAAUAUUGACUGCCUGCUGUCCCCCUGUUCCGGGUGCCAGGAGUAUAGUGGACACAAGACCCCUGCCCUUAGAGGCCUUACAUUGUAACAGGAGUGCUGGACAGAUGUGCCUGUCUGUCGCAGACUGAGGAGCGCCAGGAAGUCCAAAGCCAAGCCCAAUGGCAAGAAGCCUGCUGCGGAGGAGAGGAAAGCCUACCUGGAGCCUGAGCACACCAAGGCCAGGAUCACCGACUUCCAGUUCAAGGAGCUGGUGGUGCUGCCCCGCGAGAUUGACCUUAACGAGUGGCUGGCCAGCAACACCACGACGUUUUUCCACCACAUCAACCUGCAGUAUAGCACCAUUUCGGAGUUCUGCACAGGAGAGACGUGUCAGACAAUGGCCGUGUGCAACACACAGUACUACUGGUAUGACGAGCGGGGGAAGAAGGUCAAGUGCACAGCCCCGCAGUACGUUGACUUUGUCAUGAGCUCCGUGCAGAAGCUGGUGACGGAUGAGGACGUGUUCCCCACAAAAUACGGCAGAGAAUUCCCCAGCUCCUUUGAGUCCCUGGUGAGGAAGAUCUGCAGACACCUGUUCCACGUGCUGGCGCACAUCUACUGGGCCCACUUCAAGGAGACGCUGGCCCUGGAGCUGCACGGACACUUGAACACGCUCUACGUCCACUUCAUCCUCUUUGCUCGGGAGUUCAACCUGCUGGACCCCAAAGAGACCGCCAUCAUGGACGACCUCACCGAGGUGCUAUGCAGCGGGGCCGGCGGGGU